ACUGACGUCACAGUGACGUAGGUCUCCGUCGUAGGGUCUUGCUGGUACUGGACGACGUUCACAGUGUCAUAGAGGUGGAGGGUGCCGGCCGCGUGGAGGGUGAUCUGCGGACCGAAAGACAGUGUGAACUCGGCCUGUGUUCCCGAACAGCGCAGUAACACGACAGGGCUUCUCACAACAAAGGUGAUUAUUGUAAGUUAGCAAAUGUAACCUAAUCAGAGGACUGGCCAAACAUUUCGUGAAAUGCGACCUUCAACUGGGAACCUAAUUGUUUCCUGAUGGAGAAUUCCUGUAAAGAUGCUGGCUGUAGUGAUAUUUGUAUGCUGGCCCCUAAUAACUCUUACACAUGUGCCUGCCCUGUGGACAAGGAACUCGGUAUAGAUCAGCAGUUUUUCAGAGGUCGAUGUUAUGGUCUGACUGAGGCAAGAACUUGAUUGCAGCAGCUGGCACAGAUGGAUCCUCACCACAACCGUUCGUGGUCGGCGUGCACUGACCCGAUGGAAUGACCAUAGACAUUGGCAAAGAGCACUUGUAGUGAGUGGAUACUGAGCUGCAGUCCAUAGAAUCCAUCAACUCAGAUGGUAGUGAUCGCAGGGUGGAGAAUCCCUGUAAAGAUGCUGCCUGCAGUGAUCAUUGUAUGCUGGCCCCUAACAACUCUUACACAUGUGCCUACCCUGUGGACAAGGAACUCAGUAUCGAUCAGAAUUUGUGCAGAGCAAGCAAACAACCAAUCCCAUAGUGUUCCUGAAAAUGUAUGCCUGUUUUGAUUUCUGAACUCUUACACCUGUAAUCAGGAGAAGGUACUAAGAACUGGACUUGAACACAAUCUGCAGA